rnacentral:rRNA from 1 species
AGCCUGAACGCUGGCGGCGUGGCUAAGACAUGCAAGUCGCACGGGCCUAGCAAUAGGUCAGUGGCGAACGGGUGAGUAAUGAAUCGCUAACGUGCCCCGGACGCUGGGAUAGCUAGCCGAAAGGUUAGGUAAUACCAGAUGAUAUCACCGCCUCGCAUGAGGUGGUGCUCAAAGGUCCGCCGGUCUGGGAGCGGGCGAUUUCGUAUCAGCUAGUUGGUGAGGUAACGGCUCACCAAGGCGACGACGCGUAGCCGGACUGAGAGGUUGGCCGGCCACAUUGGGACUGAGACACUGCCCAGACUCCUACGGGGGGCUGCAGUAACGAAUCUUCCGCAAUGCACGAAAGUGUGACGGAGCGACGCCGCGUGCAGGACGAAGCCCUUCGGGGUGUAAACUGCUGUCAGGGGACAGGAAAGUUCUGAUCGUCCCCGAGAGGAAGGCACGGCUAACUCUGUGCCAGCAGCCGCGGU